CUGUCCUGAACCUAAAGACCCAGAAUGUGAUGAGCUCCUGUUUUUAAACGCGCUGCUGCUUUUCCGUCAACUGGGCUUCCAGAUACAAAGCCCAGAAGCUUCCCCUCGCUGAAUGGUAACCAGCGCACCGCUACUGACAGCAAACACAGUCUAGCUCUUGCUACAAAAAUGACCAUGGAAGGAUUCUGACUCUCCAAUCCUGAUCACAAACCCACCAUCUGUACUCAUCACUGUGGCCAGAGAGUUUUUAAAAUCUAGACUUAGAUUCUUGGCAACCAGUGAAAAGACAGUCAUGCAUCUGCCCAGUCUGCUGCAAUGUAUUUUUUUCUGGACUUAGCAGAAAACUCAAGGUUUCUGCCAUAUUUCUUUUUUUAUUCUGUGUCCUGCAGUUCAUCUAAUCAUCUCAUGCUGGCUUUCUCUGUUAGAUAUUGUUUUGUAGAGUAACCCAAUUAAAUAUGGCCCCAUUUAAUGCAGUGGGCCUUUAUUUGGGUCUGGUUUCAAAGUAUUAUCUUGUAAUUUUCCAAGCCUUAUUGAUUUACCUUUUUAAAAAAAAAUUCCCUGGUGGUGUAUCUGCUGCAGCAGCUAGCAUGGCAUCACAAUAAAUCCUCCUGAACAGAUUUGCACGCAGAAGACAGCUGUAAGCAAAGCUCAUUGUAUGUCACACAAUGCCCUUUAAAGGAGAUCCUCAUUUGUCCAUUGUCUGAGGAUUGAAUAGAAACUGAAGACUUUUUAACUGACCUGGUUUUUCACUAAAUGUGUGAGUUUCUGCAUAUUGUUUGUGUUGUUUUCACAG
rnacentral:lncRNA from 1 species